UUGGAGGGCAAGUCUGGUGCCAGCAGCCGCGGUAAUUCCAGCUCCAAUAGCGUAUAUUAAAGUUGUUGCAGUUAAAAAGCUCGUAGUUGAACUUCGGGGUUCUACCGUUGGUCGGGCUAUUGUCUGUACUGGCGUGUAGAAUUUCUACCUUCUGGGGAACUAUCAUGUUAUUAAUUUAGCGUGGUAGGAAACCAGGACCUUUACCUUGAAAAAAUUAGAGUGUUCAAAGCAGGCUUAUGUCUGAAUACAUUAGCAUGGAAUAAUAAAAUAGGACGGUGGUCCUGUUUUGUUGGUUUCUGAAUCACCGUAAUGAUUAAUAGGGAUAGUUGGGGGCAUUAGUAUUCAAUUGUCAGAGGUGAAAUUCUUGGAUUUAUUGAAGACUAACUACUGCGAAAGCAUUUGCCAAGGAUGUUUUCAUUAAUCAAGAACGAAAGUUAGGGGAUCGAAGACGAUCAGAUACCGUCGUAGUCUUAACCAUAAACUAUGCCGACUAGGGAUCGGACGGUGUUAACUUUUCUUGACUCGUUCGGCGCCUUACGGGAAA
rnacentral:rRNA from 1 species